UAUAUUUCCAAGGGAUGCAUUUGAAUUUUAUCUGAGCUAUAUAAGUGGUUUAAUAUCUGGAACACUUUUUCAUAGAAAGGCUAUACCUGACUUGGCCAAGAUAUCAGGGCUGAUACCAGAUUCUGUAUGACCAGACCUAGAUUGGGAUACUAGGCCAAGCCAAGGUCUUUGUCAUAUACUACUGAGACUAAGUCCAAAUGACAAGUAUAAGCAGUCAGUUGCGGGUGAAAUCUGCCCCUGCCUUAAAGAGACUUCCAGAGAGAAAAAUACAAAUAAUGUUUUUUGUUCUGUCAGGUGUCUCAGUUGGGACUCCAGUUACAAGUGACAGGAGACCCAACCAAACUGGGCUAAACAAAAAAGUGAAUCUUGUAAGAUGCAAAGUCUAGGAGUAGGCCUUACUUCAGGCACAGCAAGUUUGCAUUCAUAUAUUAUUAUUAAGUCUUGGUCUUUCUGUGUCAGGUUUGAUUUCAUAUCAGUUAGCUUCAGUUUCAGGCUGAAAAUAAGAUGUCAGCAUUAACCUGGGACCUCCCAGCCCCUCAGUUUCCCCUUCAAAAGAGAACAUCUAGAUACACACACUCACGCAUAACCCCAGGCCAAACCUCAUUGUAUCUGAGCCUUGUUUAGAUCACAUCCCUAAACCUGUUCCGGGCCAAGGAAAUGAACACCAAGAGUGGCUGCGCCAAGUUAUAUACUUCACUGUUAGGCUGGGGUAGAAAAAACUCUUUCAGGAGCACAUGGACUAAGAAUUAGGAAGGGUUAUCCCCAGAAGAAAAUCAGAAUACCAUUAACUUAAAAUAGCAGAUGCUGGGCAGCAAAAAAUAAAAUAAGUCACUGAAUCUUUUCCAAUUAUCAUUAAAACCUAACAUACUUAGAAAGGUAUUUUACAGCUUGGUCAGGAAUAGUUGCUUUCCUUUUUCUUUUUCUUUCUUUUAAGUAGGCCACCUCAUAUUGUACAGUAUAGCAUAAUGGUUAAACCACAAAAUUUGGUAUGAAAUAAACUCAGUUCAAAGAAAAAAGAAAAUUCUGGCACUUGACCAGCUAUAUGACCUUCAGAAAGCUGUUUAAUGAGCCUGAGCCUUCUCUUGGGUUCAGGGAUAAUAGUACCUACAUCAGGAAGUACCCUGAGAAUUAAAUGAAAUUCUUUUUUUUUUUUUUCUUUUAAGUUUUAUAUAUUUAAGUAAUCUCUACACCUAACAUGGGACUGGAACUCACAACCCCAAGAUCAAGAGUCAGUAUGCUCUUCUGACUGAGCCAGCCAGGUGCCCCUAAAUGAAAUUCUUUAUGUAAAUAAGUAGUUAGCAAAGUGCCUGCAUAUAAUAAAGCCUCAAUAGGUUACUGUUAUUUUUUGUUUGUUAACAGGAAAAGGCCUCACUUGAGCAUAUUUUCUAUGAUUUUUUUUAAUUUUAUUUUAUUUAUUUUUUUUAUUUAAAAAAAAAAUUUUUUUUUUAACGUUUAUUUAUUUUUGACACAGAGAGAGACAGAGCAUGAACGGGGGAGGGUCAGAGAGAGGGAGACACAGAAUCUGAAACAGGCUCCAGGCUCUGAGCUGUCAGCACAGAGCCCGACACGGGGCUCGAACCCACGGACCGCGAGAUCAUGACCUGAGCUAAAGUCGGCCGCUUAACCCACUGAGCCACCCAGGCGCCCCAAUUUUUUUAAAUUUACAUCCAAAUUAGCAUGUAGUGCAACAAUGAUUUCAGGAGUAGAUUCCUUAAUGCCCCUUACCCAUUUAGCCCAUUCCCCCCUCCUACAACCCCUCCAUAACCCUCUGUUUGUUCUGCAUAUUUUAAAGUCUCUUAUGUUUUGUCCCCCUCCCUGUUUUUAUAUUAUUUUUGUUUUGCUUUCCUUAUGUUCAUCUGUUUUGUCUCUUAAAAUCCUCAUAUGAGUGAAGUUACAUGAUAUCUAUCUUUCUCUAAUUUCACUUAGCAUAAUACCCUCCAGUUCCAUCCACGUAGUUGCAAAUGGCAAGAUUUCAUUCUUUUUGAUUGCCGCAUAAUACUCCAUUGUAUAUAUAUACCACAUCUUCUCUAUCCAUUCAUCCAUCAAUGGACAUUUGGACUCAUUCCAUCCUUUGGCUAUUGUUGAUAGUGCUGCUAUAAACAUUGGAGUUCAUGUGCCCCAUCGAAUCAGCAUUCCUGUAUCCUCUGGAUAAAUACCUAGUAAUGCAAUUACAGGGUCGUAUGGUAGUUCUAUUUUUAAUUUUUUGAGGAACCACCAUACUGUUUUCCACAGUGGCUGCACCACCAGUUUGCAUUCCCACCAGUAGUGCAAAAAGGGUUCCUCUUUCUCCAAAUCCUUGCCAACAUCUGUUGUUGCCUGAGUUGCUAAUGUUAGCUAUUCUGACAGGUGUGAGGUGGUAUCUCAUUGUGGUUUUGAUUUGUAUUUCCCUGAUGAUGAGUGAUGUUGAGCAUUUUUUCAUGUGUCAGUUGGCUACCUGGAUGUCUUCUUUGGAGAAGUGUCUAUGAUUUUAAGUACAGUUCUGACAAGCCUUCUGUUCUUUUUUUUUUUUUUUUAAGUUUAUUUAUUUUGAGAGAAAGUGCAAGCAGAGGAGGGGCAGAGAGAAAGAGAGAAUCCCAAAUAGGCUCCACACUGUCACCACUGAGCCCAACAUAGGGCUCGAUCCUACUAACCAUGCGAUCAUAACCUAAGCCAAAGCCAAGAGUCGGACACUUAACUGACUGAGCCACCCAGGCACCCCUGUUCUUAUUUCUUACCCUCAGCCAUCAGAAGUAGCAAAUUAGAAGGAAGGAGAGUGAUCAUUAUAGCAUACUUUCAUUAAGUGCUUCCUUUGUGCCAGACACUGCUAAAUGCUUUAUAUGGAGUUAUUUCCUUAGAGGCAAGUUUCCUAAUAACAGCCAGAACUGACACAUGAUAGCAGGGGGAGUAAACACUAAGACCAGAGCAAUCUAAAUCUUUGUGUAAAGGCAAACAGCUCUACAUACUUAGCCAAUGGCCAUCCCUGUAUUCUAGCAUUGCAUGUAUUGAGGAUAUUAAUAAUCAAGUACAGAUUAAAUUAUAUUUCCUCUUGUGGUUUUAUAUAUGGUAAAUUGCAGCAUUUAAAACAAAAAAUUUAUAAAUAUAUGUUCAACUCCUCUCUUUCCCCAGCUAAAGCAUAUAACCUAAAAACUACAGAAGAAAGUAAUUUUCUGACUUAAGUAAUUACUUCCCUAUACUCAUUCCAUGUGUUUGAAAUAUAAUGUCAUUUUAUGUCAUUUUAAUAGUAUAACUGUUGCUGCCAUCCUACAUUUUUAAGGCUUGAGAUAAAUAUUCCAAAUGUGCAGUGGUCUGCAAACCUUAGUUUUCAAAUCUUUGGGGGCAGGGAAUGUAUUGGUGUCCUAAACCAUUUAGAUCUAGACAAAGUGAAUAUAAUUGCAUCGUUAAAAAAUACUAUCAGCCUAUAAACUCAUUGGAAGAACUGGUAGCCUUGUAAAAGGCCCUGUGUAGUGACUGAUGACGGCAAAUAACUUCAUGUUUGGUGGAUGAACUGUAUUUCAUGUACAUGUCUUACAGUCUGAGUAAAUAGAGUAACAUAUUGUUGCCAAAUUUUUUAUUAAUCUUCAUUCUCUUCUAUUGAAGAUAAAUGGAAUAUGUACUUCAUAACUCAUCUUUGUGAAAAUUUGUUUUGUAUUUUAGAUAUCCCAUAAAAAUGCUUAAGUGUUUGUAACGCUUAAGUUACAUAUGUAACUGUUAAAAUUUUUCUUUUUAAAAAGUAUAAUAUUAACAGACAAAACAGUGUAUGUAGCACUUACCAAAUGUAGGCGCCCCAGCAAACAUACAGCAAUAUUCUAAAAUAUAACUAGUUAUAGCUAGGUGGAGGGAUUAUAGGUAUUUCCUUUUCUCUUUAUAUUGUUCAGCAUUUUCCAAAUUUUCUGCAAUAACUAUUAAUUUUAUAAUCACAAAAGCUAAAACAAAUUUUUUUAAAAACUGUUGUUAAGUACUAAUUCUGAAAGUUCAAUGAGAACAAAUAAAAUUAGCUAACAAUUAUUAAGCCUUUACCAGAUGCCAUGGACAGGCCUAAGAUCUUUAUAUAUGUUACUUUAGAUACAUCACUUAAUGUAAUCUUCAUAAAUAGCCUUAAUGUAGAAAUUACUGCUGUCCUCCUCCAUUUUCAGAAAAUGAAAGUCCAGAAAAGUAAAGGAGUUUUCCCAAAGCCUCCGACUAAUCUGCAGCAAGGCCAGACCUGAGACUCAGACCUGUGUACUUUAAAGCCUCUCAUAAUAACAAAUAUUAGAUUUAAGGAGUCGAAAAGAAUUCCAGAUUUAAUCUUUAAAUUAUAAAAGGGGGAAAACUCUAAACUUGAACUGUUUGAACUUUGGAGUCAGUUUUUUACAAAUAAAUUUGAUUUCUUCACUAUCUACUUAUACUUCAUGGUAGAAUUCUUUGUAAAUGAAAUGUUCUAAAUAGAAAAAAAUUAAUUCAUGUAUAUAUAU